CAAGGAGAGCAAGAGAGAGCGAAGUCGCAUCGCUGUGUUGUCAAAGAGCGAGCAGGCAUAUCCAUUCACCCGAUAGUAAAAACAAAUUAUGAAUGAAUAUUUUAUUUAUUUAUUAUUGCCAUAAAAAUAUGAUGAAUAUGUCGGUCAACAACAUGAUGUCCAUAAGAAUUUUGUUGUUGUGGUCUAGCUUUUAGUUUCUGGGUGCUUGGCGUGAAAAUUGCUAAAGCGUCAGCACUGUUCGGCGUUCGAUUUUGUUGUUGGGCUUGAGCUGCUGUCACAAUUGAGAAACAACAACAAUCACGAUGGACGAUGUGCGGCGGCCGCACAGUGGUAUCCAAUCGAUCAGUUUGAACAAUUUAGUGAAAUACAUUUGGAAAAUUCUUAUAAUACUUUAUUAACAGUAUUGCUACCUCUUGCAUGGCUUAAUAUACAUAACUUAUAACUAUAUAAUGUGGUAUCAGUUAAGCACUCUUGCGCGUAAUUCUAGAUGUUUGUAAAGAAUUGCUUUGUCUAUUAAGCUUGAAGAGCAGAUAAAUAUAGAUAUAUGUAUAUUGAACGCCUAAUGUGUGCAAGCAAUUUUUGUUAAGUCUUAAUAUUGUAUACAUUUAGGUUCAAGAUGAGUAACUAUAUAUAUAUAUAUGUAUAUGAUGUAUGUAUUUUAAGUGUGUCACGAGGUCUAUUAUUACAGAUUUAUUUCGAACACAUUCAUUCAACAAUUUUGAUUGCGCAUUUAUAAAAUAAUCGUUGCAAUAUACGACUCAAAUAUAAAGUUCAAUCAAAACGACUGAGAGAGAGAACAACUACUAUU